CCACCCGCCCAGCAUCCUGCAUCGCGUUCCGGCCUUGCAGUGGAAGUUGUUGCAGGAAGGCAACGGGACGCAUUUGGGGACCCCGUCCACCACCUUGCACCGAGUUCCUGCACCACAGCGGGUGUUCUUGCAGGAAGGCAAUGGGACGCAUUGGGGCCACCCACCCACCAUCCUGCACGCCGUUCCCGUGUUGCAUUGGAAGUUGUUGCAGGAAGGCAACGGGACGCAUUUGGGUAUCCCAUCCACCACCUUGCACCGAGUUCCUUCACCGCAGCGGGUGUUCUUGCAGGAUGGCAAUGGGAUGCAUUGGGGAGAUCCAUGCACCAUCCUGCACUGUGUUCCUGCUUCACAACGGGUGUUCUUGCAGGAUGGCAACGGGAUGCACUGGGGUGACCCAUGCACCAUCUUGCAUUCUGUUCCUGCUUCACAACGGGUGUUCUUGCAUGAUGGUAAUGGGAUGCACUGGGGUGACCCAUGCACCAUCUUGCAUUCUGUUCCUGCUUCACAACGGGUGUUCUUGCAUGAUGGUAAUGGGAUGCACUGUGGUGAUCCAUGCACCAUCCUGCACUGUGUUCCUGCUUCACAACGGGUGUUCUUGCAGGUUGGCAACGGGAUGCACUUGGGCCAUCCGCCCACCAUCUUGCACUCUGUGCUCUCAUCACAACGGAUGUUCUUGCAGGAUGGCAAUGGGACGCAUUUGGGCACCCCCUCCACCAUCUUACACUCCAUUCCAGAUUCGCAGCGGGUGUUUUUGCAGGAAGGAAGAGGAACACAUUUGGGUGAUCCAUGCACCAUCUUGCAUUCUGUGCCUGCUUCACAACGCGUGUUCUUGCAGGUUGGCAGCGGGAUGCACUGGGGAGAUCCAAGCACCAUCCUGCACACUGUUCCUGCUUCACAACGCGUGUUCUUGCACGAAGGCAAUGGGAUGCAUUGGGGAGAUCCAUGCACCAUCUUGCAUUCUGUGCCUGCUUCACAACGGGUGUUCUUGCAUGAAGGCAAAGGGAUGCAUUGGGGUGAUCCAUGCACCAUCUUGCAUUCUGUGCCUGCUUCACAACGGGUGUUCUUGCACGAAGGCAAUGGGAUGCAUUGGGGUGAUCCAUGCACCAUCCUGCACUCUGUUCCUGCUUCACAACGGGUGUUCUUGCAUGAAGGCAAUGGGAUGCACUGUGGUGAUCCAUGCACCAUCUUGCAUUCUGUGCCUGCUUCACAACGGGUGUUCUUGCACGAAGGCAAUGGGAUGCAUUGGGGUGACCCACGGACCAUCCUGCACUCUGUUCCCUCAUCGCAACGGGUGUUCUUGCACGUAGGCAGUGGGAUGCACUGGGGUGACCCAUCCACCAUCUUACAUUCCGUUCCAGC
ensembl:lncRNA